UGGCUGAGCCUGCGUCCCAGCAAGUGCAGUGACUCUCCCCCAUGGCACUUGAGACCAGCUCCAGGUGCUGGCCCAGCCCCGCCAAAGGCACAGGCUGUCACACCCGAGGCUCUGGGUUGCAUUCAACCAGCAGCUUUCCCGCAGGAAAAGGAGCUCGCCCCGCGGUGCCGCAGGGAUACCAGCCCAGCUCCCGCAGCUCCCUCCUCGCGCAGUGGCCAUGUUCCUUGCCCCCCCCCCACAGCGCCAUCUUGUGGUUCCUGAGGGCUGUUGGCAGGAGAAGGACAGACGAGGCACCGCCAGCCCUGGAGCGGGGCCGGCUGAGGACGCCGGUGUCUUUCUUGUCAUGGAGAGAAAUAAAAGCAUUUCAAAAUAUCCCCAUUCAUUCCAGAACAUCCCUGGAGAUGCUCUCGUAUCAGUGAAGAGCUCCCAUGUAGAGAGAGAAACUCUGUUCACUAAAGAUGAGAAAAUACAAAGAGAUUUGGAAGAACUCAGCAAUCUAGAGGGAUCAGAAUACUCAUUCUGAACAACUAUGAAUGAACUUGAGAGAAAUCAGAAAGUUAUUAAACUUGCUUUAUAGGAAGCCUAGAAUAAUGAUAACAAGAGGCAGCAGCAUGAAAAGAUGCAGGGAGUUGUCAGAGACAUGUCAACAUCACCUGUCAUCUCAGACAGUAAAACAGAGAGCAUGGAUGCCAAGUGUCACAUGGCACAUUCGUACAUGAAGAGAGGCACCAGCACUUUGCAGUCAGAAGUGUCCACCAGUGCAGAGGAGCUGGAACAACUCUGUGGCAAGUGGGUCACAGAAGCAGAUACUGAUAUGUGAGCUUGAGAGGAUGAGGCGGGAUUUUGUGCUGGCUAAACUGAAAUAUGAACCUGAAGAUGACAAAAAGCAAAGGCUUCAUGAAGAGAGAAUGGCACAGAUUCAUCAACAGGCAGUAAAAACAUUGUUAAGUCAAGGAUUCUAAGACCAGAGUCUACUCCAGUCCCCAAAACAGUAUGCCUUGUUCCUACAACUGCUUCAUCUGUAUUCAUGUUAUUUACACAGCAAAGGAGCUGGCCUUCUACAUUUUACAAACCCAUUACCUGUUUUGCUAUUGUGCUCUUUGACAUUCUCAAAAAGAUUUUCCAGAAUCACAAAAAAAAAAAAAGUUUUUUAAAAAGGUAGCCCCUUUUUUUUCUACUUUUUAAUUAUUUUUUCCUCGCUACACCAAUCAUGCAUAUAGGAUUUCAGCUUUUAUAUGUACAGUAGCCUAAUUACGGAAAACUAACUGAUUGUCUCAAGAAAACUGCAACUUAAUGACAUCAUUUGACUUCAUGCUCUCUCAACAACGUUUGACAUCAUGCAAGAUCAUUCAUCUAUCCAAAU